AUCAUUAACGAGAUAGGGUCCUUCGGGGCCCGAACCUCCAACCCUCUGUGUAUCUUACCUUUGUUGCUUUGGCGGGCCUUUGCUCACGCAGCGUACCCCCGGGUGCGAGUGCCCGCCCGAGGCCAUUCAAAUUCUGAUUAUCAGUGACGUCUGAGUACUAUAUAAUAGUUAAAACUUUCAACAACGGAUCUCUUGGUUCUGGCAUCGAUGAAGAACGCAGCGAAAUGCGAUAAGUAAUGUGAAUUGCAGAAUUCAGUGAAUCAUCGAAUCUUUGAACGCACAUUGCGCCCUCUGGUAUUCCGGGGGGCAUGCCUGUUCGAGCGUCAUUACACCUCUCAAGCCCUGCUUGGUAUUGGGUCCUCGUCCCCCGGGACGUGCCCGAAAAUCAGUGGCGACGCAGCCUGACUUCAAGCGUAGUAAUUUUUCUCCCGCUUCGGAAGCCUUCAGGUUGCGUCCGCCAGACAAUCUUCUCGUCUCCGGACGAGUACUUUCUAUGGUUGACCUCGGAUCAGGUAGGGAUACCCGCUGAACUUAAGCAUAUCAAUAAGCGGAGGAAAAGAAACCAACAGGGAUUGCCUCAGUAACGGCGAGUGAAGCGGCAACAGCUCAAAUUUGAAAUCUGGCUCCUUCGGGGUCCGAGUUGUAAUUUGUAGAGGAUGUUUCGGGUGCGGCACCGGUCUAAGUUCCUUGGAACAGGACGUCAUAGAGGGUGAGAAUCCCGUAUGUGACCGGUGACCAAGCUCAUGUGAAACUCCUUCGACGAGUCGAGUUGUUUGGGAAUGCAGCUCUAAAUGGGUGGUAAAUUUCAUCUAAAGCUAAAUACCGGCCAGAGACCGAUAGCGCACAAGUAGAGUGAUCGAAAGAUGAAAAGCACUUUGGAAAGAGAGUUAAAAAGUACGUGAAAUUGUUGAAAGGGAAGCGCUUGCAACCAGACUUGCUCGCGGGUAAUCAACCGUCCUUCUGGGCGGUGCACUUGCCCGUGAUCAGGCCAGCAUCGGUUUGGGCGGUGGGAUAAAGGCCUCAAGAAUGUAGCUUCCUCCGGGGAGUGUUAUAGCUUGGGGUGCAAUGCCACCAGCCCGGACCGAGGACCGCGCUUCGGCUAGGAUGCUGGCGUAAUGGUUGUAAGCGACCCGUCUUGAAACACGGACCAAGGAGUCUAACAUCUAUGCGAGUGUUUGGGUGUCAAACCCAUGCGCGUAAUGAAAGUGAACGGAGGUGGGAACCCUUAAGGGUGCACCAUCGACCGAUCCUGAUGUCUUCGGAUGGAUUUGAGUACGAGCAUAGCUGUUGGGACCCGAAAGAUGGUGAACUAUGCCUGAAUAGGGUGAAGCCAGAGGAAACUCUGGUGGAGGCUCGCAGCGGUUCUGAACGUGCAAAUCGAUCGUCAAA
rnacentral:rRNA from 1 species